rnacentral:rRNA from 1 species
UGGGGAAUUUUGCGCAAUGGGCGAAAGCCUGACGCAGCGACGCCGCGUGUACGAUGAAGGCCCUUGGGUCGUAAAGUACUGUCAACGGGGACGAACGUCUCUGGGUCAACAGCCCAGAGGCUUGACGGUACCCGUGGAGGAAGCACCGGCUAACUCUGUGCCAGCAGCCGCGGUAAUACAGAGGGUGCAAACGUUGCUCGGAAUGACUGGGCGUAAAGCGCGCGCAGGUGGCCCGGCAAGUCGGCUGUGAAAUCCCCUGGCUCAACCAGGGACGUGCAGUCGAUACUGUCGGGCUCGAGUCCCGGAGAGGGUGGUAGAAUUCCCAGUGUAGAGGUGAAAUUCGUAGAUAUUGGGAGGAAUACCGGUGGCGAAGGCGACCACCUGGUCGGGUACUGACACUGAGGCGCGAAAGCGUGGGGAGCAAACAGGAUUAGAUACCCCCGUAGUCC